rnacentral:rRNA from 1 species
GAGCAGACCCAUUCGCCGCCGCCUAUCCCUGCGCUACCUCCAUCCCUUCGCCGCCGCCCUCCCACCAAGCCGCCGCCGAUCCUGGAGCUACCUCCAUUCCUUCUGCGCCGCCGAUCCUGGAGCUACCUCCAUCCCUUCGGCGCCGCCAUCCCAUCAAGCCGCCGCCGAUCCUGGAGCCAUCUACCCCUGGAUCCCUUCGCGGGCGCCGAUCCCGUCGAGGUACCUAGCGGAUCACUUCCCGGGCACCGAUCCCGUCGCUAUGAAGACUGCAACCAUUUGAAGCCGCCGAUCCCCUUGCCAUCGUUGAUCCCUUUGCAACGUUCAGGAGCCGACGCCGAUCCCCUUCAGGAGCCAUCUGAUAUGAACGCACGGGCACGCCGAUCCCAUUCAGGAGCCGACGCAGGAUGAGGCAAGCCCCCGCGCGUCAAUCGCAGAGAGCCUCGCGAUGCAGGUACUGCUGCUGCCAGUCAGGAUGCAAGAAUCUGCUACCAAUACUGCAAAAGGAAGAUUUCUACAAUAACAAGAAGGAAGUAUUGUAUUUUCUCGCCAUUGCCCGUGAGGGCAAAAUUUGGUAACUGGUGCAUUGUUAAUGUUAUCCAUUAUGCCUUUCAUCACCACAACCCCCCUUCCUCCUAUAAAGUGGCAUCCUAUCUUUUCUCAAAUUCCUCUUCUCAACACAAAAAUCGUCGUCUAAAGGUCUUAUUAUUAUCAUGUUAAACGCUCUUUUUUGUUGACAUGUGUUCCUUCCCUUUUAUCUUGCAUAGGGAAAAUAGGGCCAGAGUAAAAUUUGUCAACUGCACUUUGUGAUGUUGGCGCUUGGGGUCAGAUGGUCCAUCGAUUGUAG